UUUUUACUUCUAAAAAAUUAUCCUUUAAGUGAAGAGACUUAAAUAAAAUAAAAAGACAAAAAGACCCUAUUGAGCUUUAUUUCAUAAGUUAAACUUCUAUAGCCUAUGCAAAAGAACCUUACCUAUAGAAAUUUUGUUGGGGCGACAAGAGAAGACCUAAAUCUUCUCUAUACUACAAGAAUAUUCCUCUACUAAUGAUCCGUAAUAAACGAUUAACAGAACCAGCUACCAUAGGGAUAACAGGCUAAUCUUCUUUGAGAGCCCAAAUUGACAAGAAGGAUUGGCACCUCGAUGUUGGCUUAGGAUACCUGAUAGAUGCAGAA
rnacentral:rRNA from 1 species